rnacentral:misc_RNA from 1 species
AAUAUGAAAUGUUUCCUAUUCAUUCAUCUUCCUCGAGAAGACGGACAUUAUAGGAGAAACAAUGUAAUGUACUUCGGCUGAACAUCUUCCAGAUCUUAGAAAUGAGCCAAACAGAGAGUUUGGAGUGAUUUGAAGUUGUGAUAUUGCUCGAGGACAUGUAAGAAGCUUCAGCUCAAUGAGUGCAAGAACCAGAUUUUUUUCUUUAGUACAGGCGUGAAUUCGAAAUUCUGUUGGUGUAUAUUUAUAAUCUCAGUUGUACAUA